rnacentral:rRNA from 1 species
UACGUAGGGUGCGAGCGUUGUCCGGAAUUAUUGGGCGUAAAGAGCUCGUAGGCGGUUCGGCAAGUCGGAUGUGAAAUCUCCACGCUUAACGUGGAGGGGCCAUUCGAAACUGCUGUGACUCGAGUCCGGUAGGGGAGUGUGGAAUUCCCGGUGUAGCGGUGAAAUGCGCAGAUAUCAGGAGGAACACCGAUGGCGAAGGCAGGUCUCUGGGCCAUAACUGACGCUGAGAAGCGAAAGCAUGGGGAGCGAACAGG